UGGGGAAUUUUGGACAAUGGGGGGCAACCCUGAUCCAGCCAUUCCGCGUGAGUGAAGAAGGCCUUCGGGUUGUAAAGCUCUUUCGGCAGGAACGAAACGGUGUGGGCCAAUACCCUGCAUCAAUGACGGUACCUGAAGAAGAAGCACCGGCUAACUACGUGCC
rnacentral:rRNA from 1 species